rnacentral:lncRNA from 1 species
UUCUUACUCUUCGUUAUUACGAAAUGGAUCUUCAUUGAGCACUUGAGGAGGUGAUAAAUUGUGUACUUUCCUCCACAUUUUCUAUCAAGGAAUGGGGUUGACUGGUGUUUGGGCUGGUACUGUGCAAUAACCUUGUAGUUGAUAUUUUCAGACGAUUUGUCUACAGCUCUGCAUGAGGUUCAAUUUGUUCCUGCAUGAGGUUCAAAUUGAUGCUCCAAGUAUCUCUUGAUUUGCUAGAGCAGGAUAUGUGUUGUUGCUAUUCAAGCUUUUUAUAGAUAAGAGUCAUACAUGCGAACACCAGAAUAGUUAGUUGGUUCCGGUGAAUUGGUCAACUCAAGUCGAAUAAGGAACCUAGUUUUUGUUUUCACCGGGGAAACAUUCUUCAAAUGGUUUCAAGAUUACUUCCUGAAUGAAUGCUUUUGGUUGAAAACUGAAUGUUCCAUGCAGAAUAUGGACUGUUCUGGCAAAUUAAAGAUCUUUGCUAGUACCAUGUGGAUCUUAUAUCCUUUCAUCGGAUGGUACCAUGUUGGAAAACGGCUGAGAUAUGUUUCAUUCACCAGGUUGUCUGCAAAUGUUUAUGCUAAUAGCACUUCUGAUUUUAAAAAAGUUCCCCAACUAUAGAUUUGUUUACAUUACAAAAUCCUGCACAUCUAAACUCGAGCAUGAAAUAACAGUUAAAGCAUAAGCAUUAAUUAUACAACUCUUUGAACAGUCUAGUAAUUCUCUGCAACAGGUCUAGAAGGGAAGAGCCUCUGAAGAAAAGUCAGCAAUGACCAGAGACAAACCAUACCAAGGACUUGGAAAGUUACUAGCAUAGCUACUAAGGCACCACUUUUUUCCAGCACUUGUGGGGAUACAGGAACUCCCUUCAUUGCAAACAUCAACUUUUCAAUGAAGUGAGCGGCUUUGCUUAACUGAUACAACCUAUACACCUGUCAAAAAAUUUUAAAUUUUCCCUCAUAUAAGGAUCCCAUUUCAUUGUUAGUGACUUGAAUUAAUUAUGAAACUCAUAUACCUCGAAAAUGAUAGGCACCAGCGGCCAAGAAGAUGACCCACUCUUUUGAAGAAGUUUUUCAAAUGCAAAUUGAGCCAGGCAACCAGAUAAGAAAGGAGCAACUGAAACUAAGGCUGGUAAGCCAAGCACCGGCCAGGUGACGUAGACAGCGAAGAGAGGUGCAAAGACCUUAAAACCCAUUGUGAAGGAGGCAGAUGACAAGUAUCCUUUGAGACCUGUGAUGAGUCCCCAUCUCUUUGGGCUAUAUU